GCAAAUUAAAUUUAUAGAAUAAAAAGUAAAGCUUACAUUGAAAAAGAAAAAAAGAAAAAAGAAAGUAAAGCAUAUAAUAUUAUAAAAUUGUUAUGUCCUAAACAAUGUUGUCUUAAAACAAUCAUAUUGCCCAAAAGUUUAACAUAUUAGGUGAGUCCUCAAUAACAGUUUUACAUCUCUAACACAUUUUGUCACAUGAAUGCUAACCCAUUUAAAGUGUGCAAAGCGCAAGUCUAUUUUAUCUUAUAAAAAUUAUAAAAUUACAUCAAGAUAUUAUUGCCAAUAAAAAAUUUAAACUAUUAGGUGAUGUUCUAAAAAUAAUUUAUAUCCCUGACAGUUGUAAUACCCUAUUAUGGAUAUGUAAAUCUCACUUCUCAAGAUAUGUGUAUUGGUGAAUUCUUCUAGAGCUUGGGGUCCUUCUCUGAAGCUACCCUGUCAAUAAAGAGAGAAGGAGGUCAGCGAGCCAAAUCGACUCUUUUUUCCAAUUGACUCUCCGACGAUCGAAGUUAGAUAAUAAAAUUUGAUAGGAAAAUUUGAUUGGGAUAGAGAUGAACCGUAAAAAAUGUAGUUUGUACAUGUGAAAGAUGAGUAUUUAUACUUGAUCGGUGGUAGGGAUGAUUCAGAAAGAAAAGAAUUUUCUUUUUUUUAGGAUAGAAUUAGCUCAGAGACACAUCUUUAGUCUAGAUUCUUAUAAUAUCACUAGAGAGUUUUACGAUAUUUUUAAGGCUUUUUCGACUUAUUUAGAGUUUAGACAACCUUUAACUGAUAAAUCUGAUGAUAUAUUUCAAGAUGUAGGACCGACCUGACAUCUCAAACUUUAGCCCUAGUCUAUAAUCUUCGGUCAAAAUCUGACAAUUUGACAUAGCGGAUUAUCCUAUAAUAUAUAGUAUCUUAUAGUCAAUAAUUUAUAGUGUAGAUAAAAUAAAAUUCUUGGAGAUCAGAUUUGGAGUAUUAUUUUUAGAUAGAAAUGCAUGUAAGAAUUUACCAUCCCCCACCCUCAUCAUAUUCACUUGGUUUUGCAUUGUCUGGCUUAUUAUAUCCUAUCAUGUGAUAUUUCUCACUCUAUAUAUGACAGAUUCAGUUGACUUAAAAAACUCCAAAAUUGCCUACGUACACAUGCAGUUUAAAAACAAACCUUUCUCCUUCUCCUCCUGAAUUCCCAACCCUUCUCUACCUCCACUUCUCUAACCCAUGAUGGGAAGCCUAGAAAUACAAACACCAUACUCCACCACCACCACCGACACAAAACUCCC
rnacentral:lncRNA from 1 species